GAUGAACGCUGGCGGCGUGCCUAAUACAUGCAAGUCGAGCGAACAGACGAGGAGCUUGCUCCUCUGACGUUAGCGGCGGACGGGUGAGUAACACGUGGAUAACCUACCUAUAAGACUGGGAUAACUUCGGGAAACCGGAGUUAAUACCGGAUAAUAUAUUGAACCGCAUGGUUCAAUAGUGAAAGACGGUUUUGCUGUCACUUAUAGAUGGAUCCGCGCCGCAUUAGCUAGUUGGUAAGGUAACGGCUUACCAAGGCAACGAUGCGUAUCCGACCUGAGAGGGUGAUCGGCCACACUGGAACGGAGACACGGUCCAGACUCCUACGGGAGGCAGCAGUAGGGAAUCUUCCGCAAUGGGCGAAAGCCUGACGGAGCAACGCCGCGUGAGUGAUGAAGGUCUUCGGAUCGUAAAACUCUGUUAUUAGGGAAGAACAAAUGUGUAAGUAACUAUGCACGUAUUGACGGUACCUAAUCAGAAAGCCACGGCUAACUACGUG
rnacentral:rRNA from 1 species